rnacentral:tRNA from 1 species
GAGGAUGUAGCUCAGUGGUAGAGCAUUUGCCUAGUAUAUAAGAUGCUCUGGGUUCAACUCCCAGCAACCCCU